AAUGGCUCAUUAAAUCAGUUAUCGUUUAUUUGAUAGUACUUUACUACUUGGAUAACCGUGGUAAUUCUAGAGCUAAUACAUGCUGAAAACCCCAACUUCGGAAGGGGUGUAUUUAUUAGAUAAAAAACCAAUGCCUUUCGGGGCUCUUUGGUGAUUCAUGAUAACUUUUCAGAUCGCAUGGCCUUGCGCCGGCGACGGUUCAUUCAAAUUUCUGCCCUAUCAACUUUCGAUGGUAAGGUAUUGGCUUACCAUGGUUUCAACGGGUAACGGGGAAUUAGGGUUCGAUUCCGGAGAGGGAGCCUGAGAAACGGCUACCACAUCCAAGGAAGGCAGCAGGCGCGCAAAUUACCCAAUCCCGACACGGGGAGGUAGUGACAAUAAAUACUGAUACAGGGCUCUUUUGGGUCUUGUAAUUGGAAUGAGUACAAUUUAAACCUCUUAACGAGGAACAAUUGGAGGGCAAGUCUGGUGCCAGCAGCCGCGGUAAUUCCAGCUCCAAUAGCGUAUAUUAAAGUUGUUGCAGUUAAAAAGCUCGUAGUUGAACCUUGGGCCUGGCUGGCAGGUCCGCCUCACCGCGAGUACUUGUCCGGCCGGGCCUUUUUUCUGGAGAACCUCAUGCCCUUCACUGGGUGUGCUGGGGACCAGAACUUUUACUUUGAAAAAAUUAGAGUGUUCAAAGCAGGCCUUUGCUCGAAUACGUUAGCAUGGAAUAAUAGAAUAGGACGUGCGGUCCUAUUUUGUUGGUUUCUAGGACCGCCGUAAUGAUUAAUAGGGACAGUC
rnacentral:rRNA from 1 species